CUUAGUGACCGAUAGCGCAUAGUACUGUGAAGGAAAGGUGAAAAGGACCCCGGGAGGGGAGUGAAAAAGAACCUGAAACCCUGUGUUUACAAGCUGUGGAAGCACGUUAAGGUGCGACCGCGUACUUUUUGUAGAACGGUCCGGCGAGUUGCCGGUACUGGCAAGGUUAAGAGCUUAAGGCUCGGAGCCGAAGGGAAACCAAGUCUCAAAUGGGCGUCAAGUCAGUACAGGCAGACCCGAAACCGGGUGACCUAUCCAUGUCCAGGUUGAAGCGGAAGUAAAAUUCCGUGGAGGACCGGAUCCACAUCCGUUGAAAAGGGUGGGAAUGAGGUGUGGAUAGGGGAGAAAUUCCAAUCGAACCCGGAGAUAGCUGGUUCUCCUCGAAAUAGCUUUAGGGCUAGCCUCAUAUUAGUUUAGCGGAGGUAGAGCACUGAAUUCCUAAGGGGGCGUCAAAGCUUACCAAGGGAUAUCAAACUCCGAAUGCCGCAUAAAUGAUGUAUGGGAGUCAGACUGCACGAGAUAAGUUGGGUAGUCAAAAGGGAAAGAGCCCAGACCUACAGCUAAGGUCCCAAAGUGUGUGUUAAGUGGAAAAGGAUGUGGGAUUUCAAAGACAACUAGGAUGUUGGCUCAGAAGCAGCCACACAUUCAAAGAGUGCGUAAUAGCUCACUAGUCGAGAGGUCCUGCGCCGAAAAUGUCCGGGGCUGAAACACAACACCGAAGCUUAGGAAUGUAUGUAAGUACAUUGGUAGAGGAGCAUUCUUAGUGCGGAGAAGCGGUACCGAUAAGGAGCCGUGGAGCGCUAAGAAGAGAGAAUGCCGGAAUGAGUAGCGAGAUGGAGGUGGGAAUCCUCCAGGCCGAAUAUCCAAGGUUUCCAGAGUAAAGCUGAUCUGCUCUGGGUAAGUCGGGGCCUAAGGCGAGGCUGAGAGGCGUAGUCGAUGGACAACAGGUUGAAAUUCCUGUACCAUGUAUCAUCAGAACUGUGGGGACACAGAAGGACAACACAUCCCGGGAAUGGGAAUACCGGGGCAAGCGAGGUAGGAGUACGGUUGGCAAAUCCGCCGUGCAAUCCGAAGACGUGACGCGCAGCGAACUAAAGUAGCGAAGUGUGUGAUUCCGGCUGUCAAGAAAAGCCGCUAUUGUGUGAUACAUGCCCGUACCGUAAACCGACACAGGUAGAUGAGGAGAGAAUCCUAAGGCCGGCGGGAGAAGCAUUGUUAAGGAACUCGGCAAAAUGACCCCGUAACUUCGGGAGAAGGGGUGCCACAGAGAUGUGGCCGCAGAGAAUAGGCUCAAGCAACUGUUUAGCAAAAACACAGGUCUAUGCAAAACCGUAAGGUGAGGUAUAUGGGCUGACGCCUGCCCGGUGCUGGAAGGUUAAGAGGAGAGGUUAGCGCAAGCGAAGCUUUGAAUUUAAGCCCCAGUAAACGGCGGCCGUAACUAUAACGGUCCUAAGGUAGCGAAAUUCCUUGUCGGGUAAGUUCCGACCCGCACGAAAGGCGUAAUGAUUUGAGCGCUGUCUCAACAAUGCACCCGGUGAAAUUGAAAUACCAGUGAAGAUGCUGGUUACCUGCGCCAGGACGGAAAGACCCCAUGGAGCUUUACUCCAGUUUGAUACUGGGAUUCGGUAUUGCAUGUACAGGAUAGGUGGGAGGCUUUGAAACAUGGACGCCAGUCUGUGUGGAGCCAAUGUUGGGAUACCACCCUUGCGAUAUUGGGUUUCUAACCUGCGCCCGUGACCCGGGCGGGGGACAAUGUCAGGCGGGGAGUUUGACUGGGGCGGUCGCCUCCGAAAGGGUAUCGGAGGCGCUCAAAGGUUCCCUCAGGAUGGUUGGAAACCAUCCAAAGAGUGCAAAGGCAUAAGGGAGCUUGACUGCGACACCGACGGGUGGAGCAGGUACGAAAGUAGGACUUAGUGAUCCGGUGGUAUGAAAGUGGGAUUGCCAUCGCUCAACGGAUAAAAGCUACCCUGGGGAUAACAGGCUUAUCACUCCCAAGAGUUCACAUCGACGGAGUGGUUUGGCACCUCGAUGUCGGCUCAUCGCAUCCUGGGGCUGUAGCAGGUCCCAAGGGUUGGGCUGUUCGCCCAUUAAAGCGGUACGCGAGCUGGGUUCAGAACGUCGUGAGACAGUUCGGUCCCUAU
rnacentral:rRNA from 1 species